AAUCAGUACUCAUUAAUCAGUAAAGCUAUUGUUAUGGAAGAGGACAAGAGGAGGGAAAAGAGGCGCCCCUCCGAAACAUUAGAAGAGAACCGGCGGCAACACUGGGACGGUUGGCAACGCUGAGGGGUUGGUGUUGACGAGAGGGAAGAACAAAGAAACGGGACUAACGGGAGUACGCACGGAGAACUGCGCAGUUGUGGUUGGUUGGGACAACGGCGUUUUGUAUUCUAGCGACUUUAAUUAAAUUACUUUAUAUCAAAUUCUAUUUAUUUUUAAUAAUCCUUACACUAUCUUUCGUAUAAGUUUUUUAAAUAGUUUAUACAUUUUACUUUGCAUGUACCCUAAGCUAGUGAAUUAUAUGUAACAACGAAAGAAUGUAUUUAAGAGUGAGAGUGUGAAUGGGUUUGGAUAGAUCAAAUUUGCAUGCAAAAUUACAGGAAGAAAUCCAUCAUCCCAUUUCAUUGAAUUCAUAAAUUUUCACUUUUGAAUGUAGUACUUUAUAAUUUAAAAGGAAGUCUGAUAUGAAUACACUGACCUGCUUAACCGGUAGUUAAAAAUUCUCUUUUCAUCACUCAAGUCUCGGUCAUGAAAUGGACUCAUGGUGUUAGUUGUAAGGGGAAUUCUUUGUUCCAGGUAGACAUUUUUUCUUCGGAAUAUUAAGUUUAUUGCCUUUUUGUGCUUUUCCCAAAUUAGAAUUAGACAAAACCCCACCAUCUGAGUUUCUUCUGUAGGCCCUUACGUCUACUAAAAUGAAAUUGUAACACGGAUCUACUAGAGCCAGAAUCACAAUAGAAGAGUAUUUUUUCUUGUAUUACCAGUAGAGACUUUCAGAUAAUUUUGGAGCUUGUAUUACUACAUGUUUCCCAUCCAAAGCUCCAAUACAGUUAGGGUCCUGCCAAUUUUCUCAAUAUUCAUCAGCUAUAGCAUUCCACAAGUCUUCAUUUGGCAUUGGCAUCACAAUAGAAGCAACUGUUAUUUUUCCCAACCUGUAGCUGAAAGAAUUUGAAUUUGUCUCCAGUAGCAAAAUACCUAAACCAAAAUAUUUAUUUUAUGUUACUUAAUUUGUUAUAGGUACAUUGGAGGAUGUUAAAAAGAAAUAGACUUCUUUUCGAAAUCUGUUACAUAGGACAGGACGCUUCAAAAAGAAAGACAAAAUCUGGGCAUGCUGCUCAAAACAUCAGAAAAUAUAAAUAUGAAGUUCUUACUACCUUAUCUAGGUGAAAGAGAGCCUAACACUGAAGAAAAAACACCUCAACACAAAAGAUAAGUUUGUCUUCAAAACAAGAUAGUCCUAAGUUUGCCACACCUUCAGCAAAGAAAAGAAAGAUCCUAGGUUUUGAAAUGAAAUCAGAAGACUCCAGUGAGCAAGCUAAUGGCUUACAUACUAUCAGAGAAGGAAGCCAAAAAAGGAAAAGCGCAAAGUUCACCAUGUAAAUAAGAUCCAGUUGAUGCUUUUUUUGUGUGGAAAUCACUUAACUGGUGCCUACUCUCAAAUCACUCAACCCUAUUCUUCUGAAUGAAGCAAAAGGAAGGAUUUUUGCAUGACAUCGCAUAGAUCAUCAUCUGCACAGUUGUUUUUCUCAACAUCUGAACAGAACUAGCCAAACUUUAACUUCACUUCAUCACUGCAACUUCAUCAGUUUCCACCGCCCUCAUUGUCGCCAAUACAACGUUAUAUAUUACCUCAAAUUUAAUUGCAAAAUAAAGAGCAAUUUUUACAGUG